CAGAUUUUGGAGUACUGCAAAAUGACUUUCCAAAUUGAUGAACCAUGGACUCUAAGCUGGAUAGACAGAGAAAUGAAAAGAAGGGACUAAUAGGGAAUAAGACGUGUGAUCCAUGGCCCGAUGGCCCUGAUGGACGUGAAGAUCCACUGUUGUGGAAGGAGUGGAACACUAACACUGAAUGAUGGAGGCUGUGGUCAGAAACAGCUGAAUAUAACUGGCCAGUGCAGAAGAGCCUAUGAAGGUGGAAAAUGGAGGAAGGAGGACCCCAUGCUGGAGAAGUGAUGGAGAUUUGAAGUCUUGGAAGAUGGUGGCAAGGGAGAUGCCAGAGAUGAGACAAAACCUAAUACUCUGUUAAACAUCUGUAAUCUAACAAUCUUCUAUGGGAGUUUAUUAUAUUUCCAUAUCCCAUGUUCACUUCUAGUGAAAAAUAAAAAUAAAAUCUUAAGCCCCCCACAGCUGACUAAAUGGAUCCCAUUGUGAAAGGA
rnacentral:lncRNA from 1 species